GACGAACGCUGGCGGCGUGCUUAACACAUGCAAGUCGAACGGAAAGGCCUGCUUUCCCUUGUGGAUUGCGGGUACUCGAGUGGCGAACGGGUGAGUAACACGUGAGUGAUCUGCCCCCAACUUGGGUAUAAGCCUGGGAAACUGGGUCUAAUUACCGAUAGGACUGCAGGGUGGUGCCUGUGGUGGAAAACGAUUUUCUAGUGGUUGGGGAUGAGCUCGCGGCCUAUCAGCUUGUUGGUGGGGUAAUGGCCUACCAAGGCGGCGACGGGUAGCCGGCCUGAGAGGGUGGACGGCCACAUUGGGACUGAGAUACGGCCCAGACUCCUACGGGAGGCAGCAGUGGGGAAUAUUGCACAAUGGGCGGAAGCCUGAUGCAGCGACGCCGCGUGGGGGAUGACGGCCUUCGGGUUGUAAACUCCUUUCGACCGCGAGGAAGCCACCUGGUUGGAAGGGUGGUGACGGUAGUGGUAGAAGAAGCACCGGCUAACUACGUG
rnacentral:rRNA from 1 species